rnacentral:rRNA from 1 species
AGCAGCCGCGGUAAUUCCAGCUCCAAUAGCGUAUAUUAAAGCUGUUGCAGUUAAAAAGCUCGUAGUUGAAUUUCGGGGUUAGUAGGUCGGUCAUGCCUCAGGUAUGCACUGGUCUCACUGAUUCCUCCUUCCUGAUGAGCCGUAAUGCCAUUAAUUUGGUGUUGCGGGGAAUCUGGACUGUUACUUUGAAAAAUUAGAGUGUUUAAAGCAGGCUAACGCUUGAAUACAUUAGCAUGGAAUAAUGGAAUAGGACGUUCGAUCCUAUUUUGUUGGUUUCUAGGAUUGACGUAAUGAUUAAUAGGGAUAGUUGGGGGCAUUAGUAUUCAAUUGUCAGAGGUGAAAUUCUUGGAUUUAUUGAAGACUAACUACUGCGAAAGCAUUUGCCAAGGAUGCUUUCAUUAAUCAAGAACGAAAGUUAGGGGAUCGAAGACGAUCAGAUACCGUCGUAGU